rnacentral:rRNA from 1 species
CGCAUCUGUGCAUGCAGCAUAUCAAUAAGCGGAGGAAAAGAAACUAACAAGGAUUCCCCUAGUAACGGCGAGUGAAGCGGGAAGAGCUCAAAUUUGAAAUCUUAAAGGGUUUCCCUUUACGAAUUGUAGUUUAAAGAAGUGUUUUCUGUUGAGGUUUUGGUAAAAGUUCUUUGGAAUAGGACAUCAUAGAGGGUGAGAAUCCCGUAUUUGACCUUUACUUUCAACUUUGUGAUACACUUUCAAAGAGUCGGAUUGUUUGGGAAUGCAGUCCAAAAUGGGUGGUAAAUUUCAUCUAAAGCUAAAUAUUGGCGAGAGACCGAUAGCGAACAAGUACCGUGAGGGAAAGAUGAAAAGAACUUUGAAAAGAGAGUUAAACAGUACGUGAAAUUGUCAAAAGGGAAGCGUUUGACACCAGUGCUGUUUUUCUGGAAAUCAAUUAAAGAACUGUUUAUGCUAAGUUGUUUAGACUUUAUCAGCUAUCUGUUUAGUUUUGAAGCUUUUCUUUAAUGCACUUUUCAGUUAACAAGUCAACAUCAAUUUCUUUUGCUGUAAAAAAGCUUGAGGAAGGUGGCUUGAGAUUCGUCUUAAGUGUUUAUAGCCUCUUGCCUAUGCAGUCGGAGAGAUUGAGGUCUGCAGCGUAGAUCCUUCGGGGCUAAAUGCAUUUGUGCUAAGUUAUAACAUUUUAUAGACAACUUGUUGACUAUGAUUUGUCUUGUAGCUUACUCGCUUAUGUUAUUUUACCUACGCUUAGGAUGUUGAGCGCAUGUCUCUCUCU